CUUUCUUGUAGUUUGGAGACCUAAUAGACCCCGAGGCUUGGUGGGUGGUUCUCUCCUGCUAACUUCUAAAGUUGAAGCUAAGGGGAUCAUUAUUUAUCUGGAGACUAUAAGGCUGUGCUGUCCAGUAUGGUAGUCACCAGCCUCAUGUGGCUGUUGAGAACUUGAAAUGUGGCUAGUCCGGAUCGAGAUGUGCUCUGAAUACAGACAAUAUGGAGGCCUCAGGCUCAGAGGAUGGCAGAGUCUUCAGAUGGAUGGAGGGAGCUGCAGUCACUGAACCACUGCAGGGAGAGAAGUACUCACAGACCAGGAACGCUCAACUUGGACUGUUAUGUGACAGAAAGAACUUGAUGUAUACCUCCUGACCUGUUCAUCUUGUAGCUGCCUCUUGACAGCACAUGUUGGCACCUUUAGAAAGAUCUAGAAAUCCACGUGUUGUACGUAAAUCUGGGGCUGUUGUUACUGCAGAUGUACCUUCCACAACUUGAUUUUCUGUGAUGUCAAUUAUUCAGGUAAAAAUAAGAUGUCACUAAGUGGUCCUUUGAUUUUGGCAUUUCAUUUUAAAAUUUGUUAGAAUUCGUUAUAAUUCUGUAACUCUGACUUGUAAGUUCUAGAGACUGGGUUUCUCUCUAGCAUUUAUUUAUUUAUUUAUUUAUAUUUUUUGAGACGGAGUCUCGCUCUGUCGCCCAGGUUGGAGUACAGUGGCGCGAUCUCGGCUCACUGCAAGCUCUGCCUCCCAGGUUCAAGCGAUUCUUCUGCCUCAACCUCCUGAGUAGCUGGGACUACAAGCGUGCACCACCACACCCAGCUAUUUUUAUUUUUUUUUGUACUUUUAGUAGAGACGGGGUUUCACCGUGUUAGCCAGGAUGGUCUCGAUCUCCUGACCUUGUCAUCCGCCCGCCUUGGCCUCCCAAAGUGCUGGUAUUAGAGGUGUGAGCCACUGCGCCCAGCCUCUAGUAUUUAUAUGUCUCUUGAGCCAUUAUUCUUCUUCUGACUUUGGAAUAUGCAAAACUCACACACAAUCUGGGGGAAGAUGCAGUUACAAAGGUAACCUAAGCAUUUCUUAUAUUGGCUUUACUUUUCACAUUAUUGCUUCUGCUGUGAAGUACAAUCUCCAAAUCUCACUAAGUCCAAAGUUGGAUUCAAAUAUGUUUUCUAUUAAUUAGUCUCUUGUGUCUCAUUUCUAAUGUGGUAGUGGCCACCUAGUCCUUUAGGAGGUUCAAGGGCUUAAAACAUGAACUUUUGGUAAAGGAAGGAGGUAGUCCCAGAUUCACAGUGUUCUUUCUUGAAGGAUACCUGACAGAAACUGAAAGUCUGUUUCCAGGAGCCUAAUCCUUGGCACAGGCAAUAUUUGUGGCCUAGGAACAUCAUAACUACUGUAGGUUCUUAUUUAAACCCUUCCUGGAUGGUGCUGGUUCUAAGAAGCUGAAGGACAGAGGUGAAAAGAGGAAAAACAUUCUUCUGAGAAUGAUGAGGUUAUACAAAAAGGAACUUUGGACACAGAGACAGACAUGCAUGGAAGGAAGAUGGCAUGAACACACACGGAAAGCACAGCCAUAUGGAAAUGGAGACAGAGAUUGGAACUGUACUGCCACAAGCCGAGGAAUGCCUGGAGCCACCAGAAGCUAGGAGAGAGGCAUGGAAUAAAUUCUCCUUCAUAAUCCUUAGAAGGAACCAACUCUGCCAACACUUUGACUUUGGACUUGUAGCCUCCAGAACUGAGACAAUAAUCUCCUGUUUAAGCCACCCAGCUUGAGGUAUUUUGUUAUAGCAGCCCUAGAGAAUUGACAUACUGUACUUGCAUCAAACCUAGGAACUUUCGAUGUUUACACCAAUCCUUCACUGGUUAUUUGAGAAACAAAUUUUCCGAGCUUCUAAAAUGCCCUGAACUCUAUUCUCCACUCUAUUUCCUCUGCACAGCUGUGGAUGUAUGACAGGUAAAUAUAGUCCCUGUUGGGAAGAUUCUCACUUGUUCAGAAAGGUUGAACUGUGUAAGUGAAGUGAAUUGCACGUGAAUUGUGACGUAGAUUACUUCACGUCAUGACCGGUAAAACCUUAGACCUGAAGAAUCUCCCAGAUGAAGGAAUAUUGACAGAUCUUAUAUAUGGGGAGUGUGUUGCUGUAAUAACCAAUUCAAAGCAGAAUAUUGCUUUUCUCCAAAGAAGAUUCAAAGAGGGAGUCAAUAACAUUAACCUUCACAUCAGCUAGUCCAAGAUGAAAUACUAGCUCAGACAUCGACUAAUCAAGAAUGUCUUGUCCCUUGUGUUCUUGUGUUGAGAAAUAACUUAGUUCAGUAUCUUUAAGAUUUAUUCACCUUGUAUUUGCACUGAUCACAUACAUUGAACUGCAAACUGGAGCCAAGAACUGUAUUUCUGAAGCUGAGCUGGUGAUAGACAGACUGUCUCUCAGUCCUUGGAGUCAAUCCAGCCAUCUUAAAUAUUGAAAUGUUUCUUUAUGAUGCUCUAGAGACAUUUUCAUCAUGCUGUAUUCUUUAGGAGCAGCUGAACCUAACAAUUGCAUCUGAAUGUUUUUCUAAGACAGGUAAAUUCUCUUAGUAAAAAUUACUUGAAAUGCUGGUAUGAAUGACUGACAGAAAACACCUACAUGGACAUUUAAGAAAUAUAAAUAAAAUACACCUGGUGAAAAGGGGAAAUAUGAAUAUUUUAACUUGACAUAUCUGUAUAAAAUAAAAAUAUUUUAUUAGAUAAAAUAAAAUAUAAAUAUUUUAACUUGACACAUGCAGGUAUGUGUAUACUUGUGUGCAUGUCUACAUUUUUACUUAAGUUCAGUUUAAGUAUCUAUAGAGAGAAGAUUGGAGGUGUAAAAGUCCAUUUCCAUCUUUAUCAGCACUUUAAACCAUUGUAGUCCUUUAUCAGUCAGAUAUUGUUAAUCACCAUCGAUACUACCAGUAGUGCUACUAUUACUAUAGUUACCAAGUACCAGGCAAUAUGAUAAUGGCUUCGUCUAUGCAAUGCUCUUUAUCCUUUUGACAACUCCAUGAAGUGUAUACCUUUGUCUCUAUUUUACAGAUGAGGACACUAAGGUUUAGAGAUAUUAAGUAGCUUGGACAAGAUCUCACAGUAAAUGGUGGAG
rnacentral:lncRNA from 1 species